rnacentral:rRNA from 1 species
GAUCUUGAUUCAGGACGAACGCUGGCGGCGUGCCUAACACAUGCAAGUCGAGCGGGGACAUUGCGACGGAUUUGAAGAUUUCGGUUGGAUAUGAAGAUGUAAUGUCUAGCGGCGGACGGGUGAGUAACGCGUGAGCAACCUGUCCCUUACAGGGGGAUAACACAGCGAAAGUUGUACUAAUACCGCAUAAGACCACAGAGUCACAUGGCUUAGGGGUCAAAGGAGUAAUCCGGUAAGGGGUGGGCUCGCGUCCGAUUAGAUAGUUGGUGAGGUAACGGCCCACCAAGUCGACGAUCGGUAGCCGACCUGAGAGGGUGAUCGGCCACAUUGGGACUGAGACACGGCCCAAACUCCUACGGGAGGCAGCAGUGGGGAAUAUUGGGCAAUGGGGGGAAACCCUGACCCAGCAACGCCGCGUGAGGGAAGAAGGUUUUCGGAUCGUAAACCUCUGUCCUUGGUGAAGAGGAAGAGACGGUAGCCAAGGAGGAAGCCCCGGCUAACUACGUGCCAGCCGCCGC